rnacentral:tRNA from 1 species
GGGGAGGUGGCUCAGAGGUUAAGAGCACUGGCUGGUCUUCCAGAGGUCCUGAGUUCAAUUCCCAGCAACCACA